rnacentral:rRNA from 1 species
GAAAUUCGGAUUAAUACCCCAUAAUAUUUAAGAACGGCAUCGUUUUUAACGUUAAAGCUCUGGCGGUUAAAGAUGGGCAUGCGUGACAUUAGUUUGUUGGUGAGGUAACGGCUCACCAAGACUACGAUGUCUANGGGGUCUGAGAGGAUGAUCCCCCACACUGGUACUGAGACACGGACCAGACUCCUACGGGAGGCAGCAGUGAGGAAUAUUGGGCAAUGGACGCAAGUCUGACCCAGCCAUGCCGCGUGCAGGAUGACGGCGCUAUGCGUUGUAAACUGCUUUUAUACAGGAAGAAAUCCUUCUACGUGUAGAAGGUUGACUGUACUGUAAGAAUAAGCAUCGGCUAACUCCGUGCCAGCAGCCGCGGUAAUACGGAGGAUGCAAGCCGUUAUCCGGAUUCGUUGGGUUUAAAGGGUGCGCAGGCGGGGCAAUAAGUCAGUGGUGAAAUCCUGCGGCUUAACCGUAGAACUGCCAUUGAUACUGUUGCCCUUUGAGUAUA